AUUGAACGCUGGCGGCAGGCCUAACACAUGCAAGUCGAACGGUAACAGGAAGCAGCUUGCUGCUUUGCUGACGAGUGGCGGACGGGUGAGUAAUGUCUGGGAAACUGCCUGAUGGAGGGGGAUAACUACUGGAAACGGUAGCUAAUACCGCAUAACGUCGCAAGACCAAAGAGGGGGACCUUCGGGCCUCUUGCCAUCGGAUGUGCCCAGAUGGGAUUAGCUUGUUGGUGGGGUAACGGCUCACCAAGGCGACGAUCCCUAGCUGGUCUGAGAGGAUGACCAGCCACACUGGAACUGAGACACGGUCAAGACUCCUACGGGAGGCAGCAGUGGGGAAUAUUGCACAAUGGGCGCAAGCCUGAUGCAGCCAUGCCGCGUGUAUGAAGAAGGCCUUCGGGUUGUAAAGUACUUUCAGCGGGGAGGAAGGGAGUAAAGUUAAUACCUUUACUCAUUGACGUUACCCGCAGAAGAAGCACCGGCUAACUCCGUG
rnacentral:rRNA from 1 species